GAUCCGCGGCGUACUAGGCCACCUAUCUGCGUCUUCUCGAGCCAGACCCCCAGCACUUACCGGGACGCGACGGCCCAAGCACUGACUCCCAGACAAGAGUCGCCCUUCCCGUCCCCCAAGGAACUGACACUAAGGCGGGACGUUCCCUCUACGACAGUUAGCAGGUCCCAGGAACGCAGCACGCAACAGCGCGGCGCAGACCCAGACUUUUCCCGGGGUGAGACCCAGAGCUCUGCGCUCUGGACAGUCCUCCCUACCCAGCCUGGAGGCCAACGUUCCCCAGCCCACCCGGAGACCUCCCCACUUCCCUGCUGUGCCGACGCUUGCCCCAGUUGGAGCAGCCUCAGGGGGCUGGGAGCUUUCGGUCCAACUCCCUUCUCCCGGACAUCCAAAACAGAUUACCUUGUCCACGCUCUCCAGACCACGCUUUGGACCUUCUCACUUUUAUUUAAGAGUCCGAUGGGGGAAAGAGGAAAAAAAAAAUCCAGAGGAGAUCCAAGUCAAUUGGAAAGAAAAAAUUUCAAAAGGGUGUCCACAGCAGCGAAAAAAAGCCCAGGCUCUACCGACCUUCAAACUACAACAGAGCUUUCAGGAGAAUGCGGGGAGAUCGCUUCCCACCCGGACCUCACCAGAAACCCGCACACCCCACCCCAUUACUCCUCGUUCAGCCAGAAAGGACUCCAGCUCCACCACCGAGAGGCCCCCUUCCUGGUGCUGGGCAGUUGAGAGGCUGUUCAAGGCAUCCCACAGGUGGCGACUGUCCCCCACCCUCCUCCUAGCCCUUUAGAAGGUACCUCUGUGGCAGACACGGUGGCUAGGUUUCUCUUUCCAACUCCUGUUACUCUGACACGUGACAAAUCAUCUUUGUGACAUUAAUCAGUAGUCACCUCAAGAUCCCUAUACUGUUCACCAGUUCCUUUUAGUGUUAGCUGCCUUCCCUGUUGGAAGUGUUCAAUAUGGAACUAGAUUAAAAUGAGGACUUGCUCUUUAGUUUCAACUGUGGAACUCGAUAGCACUUUCUGUUUCUCCUU
rnacentral:lncRNA from 1 species